GCCUGGGUGGCUCAGUAGGUUAAGCUUCUGACUUCAGCUCAGGUCAUGAUCUCAUGGUUUGUGAGUUUGAGUCCCACACUGGGUU
rnacentral:tRNA from 1 species